rnacentral:rRNA from 1 species
GCGGUAAAUGUUGUAGCAAUACGAUAUGAGAGCGUCGUAAGGGUGCGUAACACGUAUGCAAUCUGCCCGGAACUGGAGAAUAGCUCGCCGAAAGGCGAAUUAACACUCCAUAGGAUCAUAGACUGGCAUCAGUUAGUGAUUAAAACUACGGUGGUUUCGGAUGAGCAUGCGGAUGAUUAGCUAGUUGGUGAGGUAACGGCUCACCAAGGCGAUGAUCAAUAGGGGAACUGAGAGGUUGAUCCCCCACACUGGCACUGAGAUACGGGCCAGACUCCUACGGGAGGCAGCAGUAGGGAAUAUUGGACAAUGGUUGCAAGACUGAUCCAGCCAUGCCGCGUGCAGGAAGAAGGCUUUCUGAGUUGUAAACUGCUUUUGCCAGGGGAUAAAAAGUCCCUGCGGGGAAAAUUGAAGGUACCUGGUGAAUAAGCCACGGCUAACUACGUGCCAGCAGCCGCGGUAAUACGUAGGUGGCAAGCGUUGUCCGGAUUUAUUGGGUUUAAAGGGUGCGUAGGCGGUCUAUUAAGUCAGUUGUGAAAUACGGCAGCUCAACUGUCGAGGUGCAAUUGAUACUGAUG